GGGGGCGAUCCGGUUUCGACGGGGAUAGUUGAAGUUCAGGUUGCAUACCGAGGUGCCAUCUGCUCGUAAAACGGUGGGUUUAAAGUAAACGCAGACGAUUAUGCGUAUGCCCUAGCCGCAUAAAAGGCUAGCGUCCUCCCGGUCUUUGCCUGCGUGACCGGAAAGGGCGUCGACGAGCAGGCUAGCCGAUCCGCCUAACCUGUGGGACGGAAAGGCGAAAAAGAUACAGGUUAGUCCCGUGGCGGUUUUGCCCGGUUGCGACCCAUGGGGCGAAAAAUUAAAAUCGGGCUAAGUAUGUAGACGCCUGAAUGGAAUAUUCCCGGACGGGGGUUCGACUCCCCCCGCCUCCACCA
rnacentral:tmRNA from 1 species